UAGCCAUGGUGGGGACAAAGAGUCAACAGUUCUUUAAACCUUUCCUACACUUGAUAGAGAGUUUCAUUGUUUGGGAAAAGGUAGAAAUCUGUCUUUUUAAGCCA